rnacentral:miRNA from 1 species
CUGUGAUCCCGGCCGGCCAUGUGUGAGCUGUGCGGCCGCACAGCGCCCCAUGGGAGCGGGGGAGCCAGGCGGCCGGCACAGCUCACACAUGGCCGGCCGGGAUCAUAA